rnacentral:rRNA from 1 species
AAUAGAUACCCUGGUAGUCCACGCUGUAAACGUUGGACACUAGGUGUGGCGGUCUGAUCAACGACUGCCGUGCCGAAGCUAACGCAUUAAGUGUCCCGCCUGGGGAGUACGGCCGCAAGGCUAAAACUCAAAGGAAUUGACGGGUCCCCGCACAAGCGGCGGAGCAUGCGGCUUAAUUCGAUGCAACCCGAAGAACCUUACCUGGGUUUGACAUCAUGGGAAAAGCCGUGGAAACACGGUGCCCGUAAGGGCCCAUGACAGGUGGUGCAUGGCUGUCGUCAGCUCGUGUCGUGAGAUGUUGGGUUAAGUCCAGCAACGAGCGCAACCCUUAUUCUAUGUUGCCAGCGGGUAAUGCCGGGGACUCGUAGAAACUGCCGGGGUCAACUCGGAGGAAGGUGGGGACGAGGUCAAGUCAUCAUGCCCCUUAUGCCCAGGGCUGCAAACAUGCUACAAUGGCAGGUACAACGGGCUGCUAUACCGUGAGGUUGAGCGAAUCCCGACAAAGCCUGUCUCAGUUCGGA